GCAGUACAUUUUUUGACUUCUGAAAAGACAGACAUACAAAGAGACGAAAAAGAACGAAUAAUAAUUGACCGUUCUUAAAUAAGAUAUUCAAGUGACCUUCGACCGUUCAACUACCCUCCAUGUUGUUUCCCGAGCGCUGUGACCCGUUUUCUUCACAUAAGAGCGCAGGACACACAGAGAAUCGAGGCUCUCCGUAUAUUGCAUCAGUGCUGUUGGUUUCCUCCAGGGCAGACUGUAGACCGACGGGGAUCAUCUGGGUGCAAGUCCCGCCACAAACCGCCCCGCCAAGACC